GACGAAGGUGGCAAGCGUUGUUCGGAAUUACUGGGCUUAAAGAGCACGUAGGCGGGAAGUUAAGUGUUUUGUGAAAUCCCCCGGCUCAACCGGGGAACGGCAGGGCAAACUGACUUUCUUGAGGCAAGUAGGGGUGCAUGGAACUUUAGGUGGAGCGGUGAAAUGCGUAGAUAUCUAAAGGAACGCCAGCGGUGAAGACGGUGCACUGGGCUUGUUCUGACGCUGAGGUGCGAAAGCGUGGGGAGCAAACGGG
rnacentral:rRNA from 1 species